UACGUAGGGUGCAAGCGUUGUCCGGAAUUAUUGGGCGUAAAGAGCUCGUAGGCGGUCUGUUGCGUCGGCUGUGAAAACCCGAGGCUCAACCUCGGGCCUGCAGCCGAUACGGGCAGACUAGAGUUCGGCAGGGGAGACUGGAAUUCCUGGUGUAGCGGUGAAAUGCGCAGAUAUCAGGAGGAACACCGGUGGCGAAGGCGGGUCUCUGGGCCGAUACUGACGCUGAGGCGCGAAAGCUAGGGGAGCAAACAGG
rnacentral:rRNA from 1 species